AUUGAACGCUGGCGGCAGGCCUAACACAUGCAAGUCGAGCGGAGCGGCGGACGGGUGAGUAAUGCCUAGGAAUCUGCCUGGUAGUGGGGGAUAACGUCCGGCAACGGGCGCUAAUACCGCAUCCUAUCAGAUGAGCCGUGGUCGGAUUAGCUAGUUGGUGGGGAAAAGGCCUACCAAGGCGACGUUCCGUACCUGGGCUGAGGGGAUGAUUAGUAACAGUGGAACUGAGACACGGUCCAGACGCCUACGGGAGGCAGCAGUGGGGAAGAUUGGACAAUGGGCGAAAGCCUGAUCCAGCCAUGCGGCGUGUGUUAAGAAGGUCUUCGGAUUGUAAAGCACUUUAAGUUGGGAGGCGUUACCAACAGAAUAAGCACCGGCUAAAUUCGUGCCAGCAGCCGCGGUAAUAC
rnacentral:rRNA from 1 species